rnacentral:rRNA from 1 species
GCAAGUCUGGUGCCAGCAGCCGCGGUAAUUCCAGCUCCAAUAGCGUAUAUUAAAGUUGUUGCAGUUAAAAAGCUCGUAGUUGAACCUCGGGAUCAAUGGAUCGGUCAUGCCAUCGGUAUGUACUGGUCUCAUUGGUUCUCACCUUCUAAGGAACCAUGAUGUCAUUCAGUUGAUGUUGUGGGGAAUUAGGACUGUUACCUUGAAAAAAUUAGAGUGUUUAAAGCAGGCUGACGCUUGAAUACAUUAGCAUGGAAUAAUGAAAUAGGGCAUCGCAUUCUAUUUUGUUGGUUUCUAGGAUCGAUGUAAUGAUUAAUAGGGAUAGUUGGGGGCAUUAGUAUUCAAUUGUCAGAGGUGAAAUUCUUGGAUUUAUUGAAGACUAACUACUGCGAAAGCAUUUGCCAAGGAUGUUUUCAUUAAUCAAGAACGAAAGUUAGGGGAUCGAAGACGAUCAGAUACCGUCGUAGUCUUAACCAUAAACUAUGCCGACUAGGGAUCGGAUGAUGUUGAUUUUUUAAUGACUCAUUCGGCGCCUUACGGGAAAC